rnacentral:rRNA from 1 species
AGUGAACGCUGGCGGCGUGCCUAAUACAUGCAAGUCGAACGGAGAUUAAGUAGCUUGCUAUUUAAUCUUAGUGGCGCACGGGUGAGUAAUAUAUAGCUAACUUGCCCAUUACUAAGGGACAACAGUUGGAAACGACUGCUAAUACCUUAUACUCCGUAUCUAUAUAAGUAGAUACGGGAAAGUUUUUCGGUAAUGGAUAGGGCUAUAUCGUAUCAGCUAGUUGGUAAGGUAAUGGCUUACCAAGGCUAUGACGCGUAACUGGUCUGAGAGGAUGAUCAGUCACACUGGAACUGAGACACGGUCCAGACUCCUACGGGAGGCAGCAGUAGGGAACAUUGCUCAAUGGGGGAAACCCUGAAGCAGCAACGCCGCGUGGAGGAUGACACUUUUCGGAGCGUAAACUCCUUUUCUUGGGAAAGAAUUAUGACGGUACCCAAGGAAUAAGCACCGGCUAACUCCGUG